rnacentral:rRNA from 1 species
UACAGAGGUCUCAAGCGUUGUUCGGAUUCAUUGGGCGUAAAGGGUGCGUAGGCGGCGCGGUAAGUCGGGUGUGAAAUCUCGGAGCUUAACUCCGAAACUGCAUUCGAUACUGCCGUGCUUGAGGACUGGAGAGGAGACUGGAAUUUACGGUGUAGCGGUGAAAUGCGUAGAUAUCGGGAGGAACACCGGUGGCGAAGGCGGCAUCCUGGACCGGUAUUGACGCUGAGGCGCGAAAGCCAGGGGAGCAAACGGG